rnacentral:tRNA from 1 species
GGUUGUAUGGUGUAGAGGUUAGCACUCCAGAUUCUGAUAUCACAGAAACCUUCUGGCGACCCCGGUUCGAGUCCGGGUACGACCU